rnacentral:rRNA from 1 species
GAUGAACGCUAGCGGGAGGCCUAACACAUGCAAGCCGAGCGGUAUAGAAUCUUCGGAUUUUAGAGAGCGGCGUACGGGUGCGGAACACGUGUGCAACCUACCUUUAUCUGGAGGAUAGCCUUUCGAAGGAAGAUUAAUACUCCAUAAUAUAUUGAUUGGCAUCAAUUAAUAUUGAAAGCUCCGGCGGAUAGAGAUGGGCACGCGCAAGAUUAGUUAGUUGGUGAGGUAACGGCUCACCAAGACGAUGAUCUUUAGGGGCCUGAGAGGUGAUCCCCGACACUGGUACUGAGACACGGACCAGACUCCUACGGGAGGCAGCAGUGAGGAAUAUUGGACAAUGGGU